AGUGAAUUGAGUGUAUUGGAAGACAGUUUGUGUUAGGAUCUGUACUGCUUAUAGAUAACAGUAGGAGUGUGUGUAUGAAAUGUGAUAAAUGAGAUAAAUCAACAAGGAAUUAAAAGUGUUGUUUGUAAUGUUGGUUACUUAGACUGGUCUACAGUGAUGUGAAUUGGGCUGUCUGUAUAUGUUGUCAUCAGUACCUUUUUCACUAUUUCUUUGGAAUAAUGUCAUUUUGCACAUGAAUUGGGAAAUGUAAAACUACGAGAAAACAGGGACAUUUAAAACAAUAAGCAAGCAGUGACAAUUUACACACCAAACAAACAGGAAAACUAGACACAACAAGCAAACAAGGACACUUGGAACAACAAGCAAAUAGAGACACUUGACACAACAAGCAGAAGGGAGAUUUGAAAUACAUUAGAGACAAUUUAAACGACAUGCAAUCAGAGACACAUAUGCAAUUGAAACAACAAACACUUGAAACAUAAAGAACACAAUCAUGAACAUUUGAAACAACAAACAAACAGAGACACUUGACACAACAAACAUGCAGGGACACUUGACACAACAAAAAAACAGGUACACUUGACACAACAAGCAUACAGGAAUAUUGAAACAACAAGCAAACAUGGACACUGGAAAGGACAAGCAAACCGAGACAAUUGACACAACAAGCAAACAGGAAAAUAUGAAACAACACACAAAAGACAACUGAAAUGACAUGCAAACAGGAACACUUGACACACACUUAAAACAACAAGCAAACAGAGAUACUUGAAGCAACAAGCAAACAGGUACAUUUGAAAGAACAUUUUGCGAGCAUAGAAGUGGGUGAUGUCUUCAUUGGACACUGUGCGUGAUUGUGCUGAAGCAGAAUGCAUUUACAAAAUAUGGGCAUAUCAUUCAGGAGAUGGUAUGGGUAUGGAAACAUGUCCGUACAGCGUCCUCGAUGUGGCCCAGCUGCUGCAGACCAAGUUUGCCUUCAUCUCAGGUGCAAAGGCGAAAAACGGAGCCCCUGUUUUGACGUUCCCGGAUCGACCCAACCUCCCGGAACCGAGUGAUGAGGAGUACAGAAAGGUCGUCACCUACCUAUGCAGCAUUCCCCCGAUGCACGAGACCCAGAUGGGGUUUGUUCUGCUGGUGGAUCGUCGUCACAGUGGCUGGAGCUCAGUGCGCACCACGCUCAUGAAAUUGUCCGGAUACUUCCCCUGCCACAUUCAAGUGGUGUUCCUGCUCCAACCCCAUGGCUUCUUUCAGCGUGCAUUCUCUGACUACAGGUCAAAGUUCAAAGAGGACCUGGAGUACAAGGUGGUCUCAAUGGACACCCCAGAGGAGAUGUUUGACUGGGUGGACGCGGAGAUGGUGACCACAGACAUGGGCGGGCAACUGGAGUUUGAUGCCAACGAGUGGACACAGAACAGAUCUGCCGUAGAAAAAUUCAGUUGCAAUACGGAGAAGAUUGCUGUGAAUUUGACAAAUUUGAUACGAAAGAUGGAUAUAGCCUGCACACCAAAUGAUGUCCAGGGGACAGAAAAACAGAUCAAAGAGCACAUUGCCCAGAGAAACGAGCUUCUAGAGGACCUGGAGUCUUCCACCGGUCAUGGACAGACCCUGCUUGAAUGCAUCAAGGGGGACAACCCUAGAACUCCCAUGGUUCAACUUUCCCAUGUCCUAGAUGUGGAAAGACUGAUCAUCCAACUUGAGGAGACCAAGAGGAAGUUUGAGGAAUAUUGGGAGAGCCACUACAGAAAACUGCAACAGUCGCUACAGCUCCGAAUGUUUGAGGAGGAAUUUAAGGCAUUUCAGAUCAUGUUUGAGAGGGACCUGAGUCUGCUGGAGACUCAGAUGAAGGAGAUAGGAGAUAGUGUGAAGGCUGUGGAAGCCUUGAUAGCCGAGUUUGAUGUAUAUGAAGAGGAAAAAAAGCAAGAUAUUGAGAGAGGCGAAAAAAUGAGAGGGGACGGGGAACAGUACAUAAUGGACGACCACUAUGCAGUAGACAGCAUUCGCCCGAAAUGCAUCGAACUGCAGCGUAUGUGCGAACAGUAUCGACAGUUGCUACGACAACGACGCGAGAUUCUCAACAAAUCUCAAGAGCUUCAAGAAAGAAUCGAGAAGGCCAACAAAUGGUGCAUGGAUGGUGUUGACAUGUUGACCAAUCUCAAGCUGCAGAGUUGCCAGGGUAACGAGGAGGUCACUAGGGCGGUCAAGGACAUUGAUGCAUUUGUUUUCUCUGCUAAGCAGCUUCAGCUCAACAACCCAAAAGAGUUCAGACAGUUGUUCGACACUGUGAUGACUUCAGAGACGAGGACAGCUGUUCAAAAGGUCCUCAAAAAAGUAGAAGACGUGCAGAUGAUGUGCGCGAAGAGAAGGGAGGAGCUUCUCUCCCAGACCGCCACUUCCCGUCCCGUCCAACACCCGGUCCAACCCGACCUAGUGACCGCAUCGUCCCGUGGGCAGACAACCGUUCCAGAGUACAAUCUCAAAGGCAAGAGUGCUGGGCACCAGCGGAGAGCUGGGAAACAGGGCCAGCAGCCUCAGACUGCGGCACCGCAGGUUGAGAAAUCAGCAAGGAUACGCACAGAUGCUGCUCUACCCCAGCCACACCAUAAAGGUCAGGGUCAUGGUGGAAGGUCAAGGUCAAACCAGGGGUCAACCAGUACCAGUAGCAGCCUGUCCACCACAGACAGCACUGAUGUUGCACGCACACUCAUGCAAUCAUCAGAAGGCCCUGCACACCAGAUUCCCGCAGAAAGGACCCGUAGUUCCGUGGCCUCUGUUUCGACUACCUCGGGAUCUAGCGGUAUUUCUGAACAGAUGCUGGAAAGCUUGCAUGAGAAAAGACAGCAUGUUAUGAAGGAACUUAUCGACACUGAAAAGACAUACGUUCAACAGCUUCAUGAUAUACUACGCGGCUAUUACUGUGAGAUGGACAAUCGCACUAUGCAACACUUGAUACCUGAUGAGCUGGUCAACAACAAGGAUGUGCUGUUUGGAAAUCUAGAACAGAUCUACAAGUUCCAUCAUGAUGAGUUUCUGAAAGAUCUUCAAAGUUGUGCCGAUUGUCCAACAAAGCUGGGAAAAUGUUUCGUGAACAGAAAGGACAUGUUCCAGAUGUACAGCAUAUACUGCCAGAACAAACCCCGUUCAGAGGAGCUGCGUACACAGAUAGGGGACAACAACCCUUUCUUCAAGGAGUGUCAGAGGAAGCUGGACCACAAACUGCCACUAGGGGCAUAUCUUCUGAAGCCAGUGCAGCGUAUUACGAAAUACCAGUUACUAUUAAAGGAGAUGCUAAAGUACACAAAGGACAACAAAACCUGUCAGGAUCAGCUGGAGGAAGCCCUGAACACCAUGCUGGAGGUGGUACGCAUCGUCAACAACAGCAUGUACCAUGUCGCCAUUGUGGGCUUCCCAGGUAACCUAUCAGACCUGGGCAAGCUGCUGAUGCAGGGCAGCUUCAGUGUAUGGACAGAACACAAGCAUGAGAAGAUUCGCGACAUUCGUUUCAAAGCCAUGCAGCGUCACGUGUUCCUUUACGAGAAGGCCAUCCUGCUGUGCAAACAGAAGGAAGACGUGCACGGAGACAGCAGAGACGCGUACUGCUACAAGAACAUGCUACGGUGUAACCAGGUAGGAUUAACAGAGAACAUCAAAGGAGACAAGAAGAAGUUUGAGCUCUGGUUGAGAGGUCGUGAGGAAGUGUACAUUGUACAGGCCAGAAGUCUGGAAGUGAAGGACUACUGGGUGAAAGAAAUCAAAAAGGUCCUCAUGGGACAGUUUGAUGAAAUCAAAUUAAAUAAGCUGAAUCUCAUUCAACACUCGUCGGAGGACCUCACCACCCGGUCAGGCAGCGACAGUGGGAUGGAGAGCUGGCGGAACCGGCAGGGCUCGGGGGGCAACCCGACCUCCACUGUGCCCGUGGGCCUGGCCAUGAUGAGCCCUGAGAGUCCCCCCGAGUCACGGGAGAAUGGAGACAGGUGGUCCGACGUGGAGUACACGGACUCGGAGCCUGAGACUGAGAGGAAGGCCGCGCAGCAUGUGUCACCUUUGGAGCCAACGUACCUACAGCAGUUUGUCGCCAUUGCCGACUACGUUGCCGUUGACGACGUGGAAAUGAGUUUGCAUGAGGGUGAUGUGGUCGAGAUCCUGCGCACAGGUAGCACAGGUUGGUGGCUCGCGCAUCACAUGACCACCAACGAGGAAGGCUGGGUACCAUCUACCUACCUCGACCCGAUUGCCAACGCAGGGUCAAGAUCGAUGGCCUCGGUUUCCAGUAUAGGUUCUGGAAGUCAGGCGGACCAAACCAGUCAUUCCAGUGGAUAUAGUGCAACCAGUCCAGUGGAUGAAAGCGCCAUUUAAAAGCCAUUCAACAAGACUUACAGCAAAUCUUCCAGGUCGUCACAUAAUGCAGCCUCAGUCGUGGAGAGACCUCAUAAACUGUGAAAAAAACACAUACUACAGCCAAUGUUAAGCUUUACGAUGGUCUAUUACCGAGCGCUGCUGGCACUAAGCUCUAUGUAGCAUAUUACUCAUUUGUAACCAGUCCAAUUGAUAAGAGCAACAUUUAAGACCCAGUGUAGGUACAUGCUUCAUUUGGAGCCCUAGGAGCUUUGAUCACAAAAUUGUGCUUGGUAAAAUUGUAUGGUCUGAUAUUGAUGAUUUAUACAGGACAUGUCAUGUCUGGGACAGUGCUUGAUAGAAAGAGUGAAUAUUUGUCAAAGUUCAAGGUCAAAUAGUUGAAGAAUUCUAUCCUGAGUUGUUUGAAAACAGCAUUUUAAUUGCGCAUAAGGUACAGAUCUUUAGAUACCUUGGUUUAAUUGUUGACCAUGGCGAAACAGUGUUUUGCAGAAAAACCAGUCCACUGACCCAAGGUCGAUUUCAAGAUCAAAGGUCAAGAAAUAAAUACUUAGUCAUACUUUGCUGUACUGUGUGUGCUAGUAUAUGUUUGAGACUAUGGAAUUCUGUUUUUGAAUUCCUACUUAAAAUAAGUGAAUAUUUUACAAUGCAAGAUUGCAUUUUUGUAAAUCUAAUAAAAGAUUUGUAGAAUAAUUCACUGUAUAUUUUUAAGUUCAAAUUUAUAAUUCAAAAUUCAUUUAGUUCAAUGUAUUCCAUCUUUUUUUUAUAUACAUUUUGUAAACUUGUAUGUAAAUCCAUCAAAUACAUUCCAAAAAGUAAUCUAAUUUUAGAUUCCAUUAUGUUUUUAAACAAGAUAUAUUUUUAAAUUACAAACUAUUUUCUUUUUAUGCAUGUUUAAAUUUCAUUCCAGUUCGAAAUAUCAUUCCAGUCUUUAAGAGUAUUUUAAGCAUGCAUGAAAAGAUUGCUUAAACAAAAGGCACUUUAAUAAUUGCUAUAUGAAUGUUAAGGAAUAUUUUAUAAAUUGGUCACAUGUGCAAUAUGUAUACAAAUAUGUACUUAUAAGUGUAAAUAAGUAUUUGUGAUUUUUAAAUCCCGAUUUACAAUUUUAAGAAUUGUGUAUGAAUUGAUUUUCAGCUAACAAUUUUUAUAUUUUUUAAUCCCACAGAGAGUGGGUGGCAUUAUUGCACUUGUUCAUUCACAUGUAUGUCCCAAAGCUUGUGUUUUGAACUCCUGUUUAAAAACUGGGUAGAUCACACUCAAACCUUCACAGUUGAAUGUUCUUAAUAUGAAGAUGACUUGUAAAAAAGGAAUUUUACCUUCACUUUAACUGCAGGUUUAAUCUAGCCCAAACUUUCACAUAUGAAUUACCUUCAUGUGUAGAUGAAUGUAAAUAAAGGAAAAAUGACCCCUAUUGAUUUUGAGGUCACUAGUUUUUUUUUCACUGCGCCCAGUUUUGAUUGAAUUAUGGCCAUGUUCAUGUACUGAAGAAUAUACAGUGGAUUUGUCUUGUGUCCAUUCAUGUCCUACAUAUUUCAGCUCAAUUGCAUAGAAAGCCCAAGGCUUAUUUGAAACACUCUUAAGUUAUUUUCCUUGGACUAGAACCAGUACUUGGGUGUCUAUUGGGUACAUCUAAAGAACGCUACCACAGUGGGUAUGGAACCUGUAACCCGCUAGGCGGACACCAUAUCCACUGCCACCUUUUGUCCAUUGUAGUAUAUAAUUGUGGAUUUGUUAGUGUCCAAACAUGUGUCGUUGGGACAUCAGUGUCUGUGAUACAUGUCUAGUUGUAUCUGUUAUGUCUUUAUAAAGUAUGUUUAGUUAAGUAUCUAUAAGUAAAUGGGCCAGGUUUCUAUAUCAAGUGUAUCAGUUGUUGAAAGCAGAGUGUUGUAGUACUAAUACAUUCCUGUGUGAGAUAAAAUCUUGUGCUUUUAACUUUGAUUAGCUCUAGUCAUUUUAUAAGAGUAUCACAAUUUGAAUCUUGUUAAAAUAAUUAUCUAAACUGUAACCAAUUGCACUACCGGUUUGUGUGCAAAUCAAGGAGUUCUAAGGCGUGAAAUUUAUUAUAUUUUAUGUAACCUUUUGUCUUCUUUGUAUAUUUGUUAAGGCAUUUAUAAAUCAAUUAUGUAAAACAAGAGGACAAUAUUUGUGCGCUUAACAAUUUGAAAUGUUUCCGGUCUGCUUUAUUUGUUCUAGUUAUUUACAUAAUAUACAUACAUCAGUUCAUAUUUUAUUAAAAUGCAUUCAGUUUAUUGUGGAAAUCCCUCUAUUGAACAUUUGAAAAAGAAAUAGAAGAUUAUAAGUUUUAUCAGUUAAGAAAAAAGACCAAUUACUUUUUUGUAUCACUUUCAUGUAAUAUGGUGGUUUUAUCAGUUUUUUAUUCUCCAGUUAUUUUGAAGUACUAUAGUUUUAUUUAUCUUUGGUGAAAUGAAGUUUGAUGGAUUCAUAAAAUCUUUUAUUUCAUUAUGCUCUUAAAUACAUGUAUUAUUUGUAUUAUCUGAUAUUAAACCUCGUACUUCAAAAUUCAUUGGACAUUUGAUUUCGUGUCAAAGGGGACCCCGGAAAGAAUAAUGUAUGAUGAAUAAUAUUGGUUUUCAUCUGAGUUUAUAUUGCUUGGUCCAGUGUCAAAUUAAAUAACAAGAAUUGUCAGGAUUAUAUGAAUUAGGUACAGUAUUGGUAUUCACUAUAAAAUCUUAAAAUAAGGCAAUACAGACAGGUGUCCUUAAUAAGGCAAUACAGACAGGUGUCCUUAAUAAGGCAAUACAGACAGGUGUCCUUUACUUUUGUUUAAUCUGUAAUGCACAUUCGUGUAUACAAUAUAUGUUUUUGUUCAUUGUUAAGUCUACUGCCUUUGAUAUAGAAUAUGCAAUACAAAUUUAUGAUAUUGUUAUGGGUAGUGUGAACUUGUAAGUUGUGUAUACUUUUAAAGUUGUUGUUGAUUUUACAAAGUCUAGAUAUAAGAUAAUGAUUUAAGGCAUAUAAGUGAUAACACAGUGUUUGUUGAUGUUGUUGUUGUAAAUGUUGUUGCGUUUAUUAUGUGGAAACAGUGUUGUGACUUAGACGCUCACACUUCUACUAAAAAAAUGUUGUAUUUCAAAAACUAGUUUUAACUAGGAUCCCCCCACCCCACCCUGUCACCAAAAAGAUACUAAUGUGCGCAAACAGUACAGUGAUUUAAUUUACACCAGGUCUUCAAGAAAUUGUCAAUGUUUGCAUUAUAAAUACUAGAAUUUAACUAUUAUUAUGAAAGUUAGUUAGUUGUUUGUCCCUUUGCUGGUAGGGCAGUUGUCAGUUACUGGUAUCAGAUGUGCACUCAGCAAUGGUAACCCAGUAAUCUCACAAAAUGUAAUAUAUGAGCUGUCCUCUGUAUAAAAAAGGUUUAUUUCAUGUGCAUACAGUGUCGUCCCAGAUUACCCUGUGCAGUCCGCAUAGUCUAAUCAGGGACGCAGUUUUUCACUUUUAUGAUAUUUUUUGUCUAAAGUCUGUUAUGAGCAAAAAUCCAGUUAAGGUGGAAAGUGUUUAGACUUCAAAGGCUAAUCUGGGACGACACUUUACGGACAUACAUUAAACCCCCUUUUCACAGACCACAGCUCAUAUAGAUUAUUUUUACUGACUUGUCAUUUUACUGACACUUUUUAUUUCCCUUUUUUAAAUAACAUUAAAAAUAAUCAAUUAGUUGUUAAUAACAAUAUCAAGCUUUUAAAAGUACCAAACUAUAUAAACUCAAUACAUGUGUAAAUAUUGUAAAUAUAUGUUGCUAUUUGUCUAUGUUGACAAGAGUUAAGACUUUGUCAUUUUAAAUCACGUAUAGUGAUGUAAUGUGUCCCUGUUUACUCUAGCUGCUAUUUAUUGUUAAGACCUGAAUUAUUUAUUGUUUACUUUUGUUUUCGUUGCAUUUAUUUAUUGAAUGACCAGUGAAUAAACUACGUUAACUAUAA